UACGAAGGGGGCUAGCGUUGCUCGGAAUCACUGGGCGUAAAGCGCACGUAGGCGGAUUGCUAAGUCAGGGGUGAAAUCCUGGAGCUCAACCCCAGAACUGCCCUUGAUACUGGCGGUCUCGAGUCCGGGAGAGGUGAGUGGAACUGCGAGUGUAGAGGUGAAAUUCGUAGAUAUUCGCAAGAACACCAGUGGCGAAGGCGGCUCACUGGCCCGGUACUGACGCUGAGGUGCGAAAGCGUGGGGAGCAAACAGG
rnacentral:rRNA from 1 species